AUGUACCACGUGCACUUUGCGGUUGCUCCGCGCCGUCCGCAUCCACCUGGCGACUGAUUGCUACGUUUUUUUGGCC
rnacentral:sRNA from 1 species